rfam:Ciona savignyi cont_37774, whole genome shotgun sequence.
GCUUAUCACCAUUCCAGAUUGAAUAUACCCGAUCUCGUCUGAUCUCGGAAGUCAAGCAAUCUCGGACUUGGUUAGUACUUGGAUGGGUGACCACUUGGGAAUACCAAGUGUGAUAAGCA